rnacentral:rRNA from 1 species
AUGGCGGCGGUGCGCUGGGACGAACUCCCGGAUGACAUCGUCCGGCAUAUCGACGCCCUCCUCCCUUGCCCGCUCGGCCGCGUCUACAUGGGCGCCUGCUGCAAGUCGUGGCACAGAGCGACCACCACGCCCGCUCCCGCUGCCUCGCCUCCGCGGCUCCUCCCCUGCCUUCUACUCCCGCUCGCCGGAGGGCCGUCCGUCGCCUGCAUCCUGACCGGCGGCGCCCAGCACGGCCUCGGCCUUCCGGAGGACGCGCGCCGCGCCCGUUUCUUCGGCUCCUAUGACGGCAUGUGGGCGUUCCUCGCCCUCAGCAGCAAAGAGGGGCACGUGCUGCUCAACGUCCGCACCGGCGAGCGCAUCCCGCUGCCCGACAUCGACUUCGGGCGGGUCUCGACUAGAUGCCGCGCGGUCCGCGACGACGACGGAGUCGUCCAGUCGUACCGAUGGUUGUUGUUCCGGGGCCCUCGCCGUUCCGUCAUGAUGCUCGCCGCGACCCUCUCGUCCGCGCCGGCCGUCGACGGAAAGUGCAUCGCCGGCGCCAUCCUCAACGUGCACGGACCCAAAGGCGUUGACAAAUGGCGGUACGUCUGCUUCUGGCGCCUCGGCUCGCAGAUCGCCAUCCAGUCACCAGAGGAGUGCUCCGAAUUAGUUGGGUGGUCGGCGCAGGACAUCGCCUACUUCGACGGCCGCUUCUUCGUGCUGACCAAGGGCGAGAACCUCCGGGCCUACACUGUGCUCGACGAACCCGAUCCAUUGAUAGGAGGGGAUCUUGGCACUCGCUGCGCCUUCUACUACACUGGCCGCGGCGACACGGCGGCCUACGCAGAACCCCGCGCCGGAUACCUCGUCGAGUCACGCGGCGAGCUCCUCAUGGUGGCCAAGGAGUGGAUGCCCGACGACGGAGCCACCACCUGCAUUCGGCUCUUUGCGCUUACUAGGAGCAGCCACUCACUCUCUCUCAACUCCUCACUUCCCCCGCCGCCUGCUCUCCUACUCGGCUACUCUCCCCGCCACAUCCUCAUCUUUGCACGUUGUCGCACGCCGCCUCCACUCCAGCGCGCCUUCAUACCCCACCUCUUCUCCCGCCUCGACAUGGCCCGGCGCCUCCUCCUCCCUUCCCCCACCUCCGGCCUCGCCCCGUCGCCUCUUUCCCCACCACGGCGCAUCUACGUGGGGACGGCGCUUCGAUCCGGAGCUCAAUGGCAUCCCACAACCGCGAGCACCUCAGGCUCAAGCGGCACCAGAUGGAGCAGAUUCGCGUUGUCGUCAAGGGUCAUGGAGCUCAGGACGCCGCGCUCCCCCCUGCUCCGACGCCAGCAAGCACCACCAAGUUAUUAUUUGGUGGCCACAUCUCAUGGGAGGUGUUGUGUCAACUGCAUUGGCCUACAAUUCGUGGGAUUCAAAUUUGGAGUAAUACAUCUUGCCCAGUUUCACCGUGUGGAAUACAUGGGCUGGGUCCUCGGCCCCAUCGCCCUCAUCGCCUGCGCCUACAUCACCUAUUACUCCGCUGUCCUCCUCUCCGACUGCUACCGCUCGCCGGAACCCGUCCGCGGCAAACGGAACUACGUACAUUUGUACAUGGACGCCGUCCGCCCCUGUCUCGGGCCUGGAAAUCUAGCGCUGUGUGGCAAGGAACUACAUGAUUCUUUAUGCAUCAACAGUUGCCACGGGCAUCAUAAGUUCCUUGCCUUGAGAGCGCAGGUCCGUGGUGCCCAGCAACUGGCGCCAUUAGAAGGGCCACGAUGCAAACUGCAGCCAAGAUGGGACGAUGUAACUGGUGAUGUUUGGCCUCGACAAGUCGUCCUCGCGCAGCUGCUGGGCCUGGAGAUCGGCACCUUCGUCUCCAUCGUCGCGGCCAUCAUGUCCUUCACAUACUUCUUCGUUGUGCCGACCUGCGCGUAA